AAAUAGAUAGAAUGAUCCAAUUCAAAUGAAAAUGUCACACCCCGGGGUCUCUUUUUGAAAUCUAAUUUGAAAUCGGACUAUCUUUAUAAAUCGGAGUUAGCGGAAAACUGGCCUCUUUUUUAUUUUUUUAUUUUUUGAUCUUGACCCAGAGAUAUAACAGCUCGCCACAAAUACAAAAAAUUUUCGAAACAAACGGACAUAUCUUUCCCCUAUUUGCACGGUGUAACACAUAUACAAUUAACAAUUAGACUUCCACUCGUACACACAAUAAUACUAGAAGUACAAGGAUCACUAAUUUCGCAUCAUACAGCUAACGAUCCUUAGUCACAUCUAUUCAUGUUCAUUCACAUAUAUCCUAUUAGUUCCAAAUGUCUCCCACACGAAGACUUUAUUUGAAAUUCUAACUUUCGAAAAGCCACAAGAAAACCAUUUAAAAAUCGUUCCCCACACGGGAGCCUUUAUUUUGAAAAUACUAUCACGAUAGGUAGAAAGCCAACAUUCGAAAACUGAGACCAA
rnacentral:lncRNA from 1 species